CCAGAGCCGUCUAUUUCCCUGUUCUCAACCCUCCCAAGGUGAGAGAGUUAAGCAUAGAGUGCGCUCGAGUUGGCGGAGUGGAGAUUCCGAACAAGAGAAUUGAGUUCUCGCUAUAGUACAUCCAUGGAAUCGGAAGGAGCAGAGCUCGCAAGAUUCUCUACGAUAUAAGCAUGGACAACAAGAUCACUAAGGAUCUCAGCGAAGAGGAUCUCAUCACUCUUAGAGAUGAAGUCCCCAAAUAUGUCAUUGAAGGCGAUUUGAGGAGGUUUAAUGCGCUGAAUAUAAGGAGAUUGAAGGAGAUUCAAUGUUAUAGAGGAUAGGUAGAUAGGUACGUUUGCUGAAGAAGGCAAACAAAAUAUCAGUGCUAUGCGAUGCCGAAGUCGCACUCAUCAUCUUCUCUACCAAAGGCAAGCUCUUCGAAUAUUCCAGCGAUCCCUGUGUUCAAGUAGCUGCUUCUCAAAGAGUAUUUUUAUGGAAUACGGAUUGAAUCAAAAUGAAGAAGCAAGAACAGAGUUGAGAGCAGUAGAUGCGUGGAUACUGACUGACAAGCCUUACUCUCAUCAAUCCAUUCAUUCGGGUUCAUGGAAAAGGAUCCUGGGAACAAAUUUUUUUGGUCUGAUUUGUCAGAUUCAUUUAAAGAUCGGUGGUAGUUCUCAAGAGGAAAUCAGCCUAGGGUUCAUGUCACUCUGCCUCUCUCUUAUCUUGAGAAACAACAAGUUAGGUGGGAAUUUUUACGGUGGCCCUGUCCUUUCUCUGUCCCCUUCCAUCAUGUGGCGUGUUUCACUGUUCAGUCUGAAUUUCCUGUGAUGUAGAUGAAACAAAUGAACUAUGCUUAGUGUCAACUGAUUCAAAAAAGCUCCUCUCUAAUCUCACCCCCUGGAAGGAAUGUUGGAAGAUAACACUCAGAAUCAUCAGAAUGAGGAGUUUAAUUGAUCAUAGGGAGGAGAAUGAAGAACAUGCUUUUCUUCGGCUUCUAAUAAUGGAUAAAGAAUGGCGGCGGUGGCACUACUAGGUAUGACUCUUCAUUCAUAUUAUUCUGUUUUUUUUUUUCAUUUUAUUUUUCACCUUUGUGGCUUGAUAUGGUUCAAUUUCAAUUGCUGCCUUCCUCAUUUUGUAUGUCGAGAAGUCAUUACCUGUUUUCUUACUACUGGUUAUUUUCUUUUUUUUUUUUCUGAUGUUUUUUGUCACAACCAAAUUGAGUGUUAAAUUCCCCUUUGUGCCCUUUUUUUGUCUUCGGAGUCAAAAUUACCUUUGUGCCUUAUUUAUAUACAAGUGUACACCACUCUGGUCAUUGGUGUAGGUUGUAUUGUGUCGCGUCUUUGCCUUGAUUCUUUCCCAUUAUCUCAGUGGGAUUCAAAGUGGGUAAGGGUUUUGUUUCUGAAAUUAAUUUUGUUUAUCAUCAUUGUCUUUUCUAGAUAUUAUUGUGUUUCACAUAAUUAUGAAUUCACUGUAUUUAAUUCUAAGGUUUCUUUGAAUGUCUUUCAAAAUUUACAGGCUUUUGUGGGAUUAAGUUUUUCUUGCAAGCUGUUAAAAUUUGAUGUAAAUAGAUUUUCGUGAUUUUUGUGUUGAAGUUGUGUGUGAUUAUGAUACUGUUAUCCUUCAGUGUGGUUGACAUCUGGCCAAUGCUCGAUUCGGAUUUGUUUUUGGAUUGUGCUCUCUUUUUUCUUAUUGAUUUGGUUGUUAUAUUUUCAUAUUAAAAUCUAUGCUGAUAAGAAUCAAACUAGGAUAUGAAGAUUUCUGCGAUUGAAAUAUCUUCAAAGCCUGUGGUUAUUAGGAGCUCUACUACCUUUAAAAGCGAGAAAUUUGAAAAAGGUAUACCAUUUUUUAUAUUCAUUUCUAUGAGAAUUGGCACAAUAGAAAAGCAAACAAGAGUUUAGAUUUUGAAUUUUGAAAGCAAGGAAAAAUUGAUUUUGAGCACAAUCUUUCCGUUUUUGGAUCAGAUUAAACUCAUAUUUAAAAAUCAGAUCAUUACUUGAUUUCUUCUCUCUCUCUGUGUGCAUGUGUGCGUGUGCGCGUGCGCGCGUGCGUGUGUGUGGUUCAAAAUACCUAGAUAUAUUUCUCAUAAUUGUCACAACAGCUGCAAAUUGUAUCAUUUUAUUUUAAUUGCAAAAU